rnacentral:rRNA from 1 species
UGCCUGGAAGGUUGCCGUCUGAGUAUACAAUCAAUCAAUUAAAACUUCCAACAACGGAUCUCUUGGUUCCGGCAUCGAUGAAGAACGCAGCGAAAUGCGA